rnacentral:rRNA from 1 species
GACCUCAGAUCAGGCAAGAC